rnacentral:rRNA from 3 species
UUCGACCUGAACUCAGGCGUGAGU